rnacentral:rRNA from 1 species
GAUGAACGCUAGCGGCAGGCUUAACACAUGCAAGUCGUGGGGCAGCAUAAGGGUAGCAAUACUCUGGUGGCGACCGGCAAACGGGUGCGGAACACGUACGCAACCUUCCUCAAAGCGGGGGAUAGCCUCUCGAAAGAGAGAUUAAUACCCCAUAGUAUCUUGAAACUGCAUGGUUUUAAGAUUAAAAGCUCCGGCACUUUGAGAUGGGCGUGCGGCUGAUUAGGUAGUUGGUAGGGUAACGGCCUACCAAGCCAACGAUCAGUAGCUGAUGUGAGAGCAUGAUCAGCCACACGGGCACUGAGACACGGGCCCGACUCCUACGGGAGGCAGCAGUGAGGAAUAUUGGUCAAUGGAGGCAAUCUGAACCAGCCAUGCCGCGUGAAGGAUGAAGGUCCUCUGGAUUGUAAACUUCUUUAUUGGGGAAGAAACCGCGUUUCUAAUGCGGUUGACGGUACC